rnacentral:rRNA from 1 species
ACACGCAUGACACACUGCAUAUCAAUAAGCGGAGGAAAAGAAACUAACAAGGAUUCCCUUAGUAACGGCGAGUGAAGCGGGAAGAGCUCAAAUUUGAAAUCUUCAGGGUUCUACCUUGACGAAUUGUAGUUUAUAGAAGUGUUUUCUGUUAGUAGAGUGGCAAAAGUUCUUGGAAUAGGACAUCAUAGAGGGUGAGAAUCCCGUAUUUGGUCAUUCUUUCUAGCUUUGUGAUACACUUUCAACGAGUCGGAUUGUUUGGGAAUGCAGUCCAAAAUGGGUGGUAAAUUUCAUCUAAAGCUAAAUAUUGGCGAGAGACCGAUAGCGAACAAGUACCGUGAGGGAAAGAUGAAAAGAACUUUGAAAAGAGAGUUAAACAGUACGUGAAAUUGUCAAAAGGGAAGCGUUUGACACCAGUGUUGUUUUUCCGAAAAUCAAUUAAGAAUGUUUUGUUUUUGAGGAGUUAUGACUUCAUCGGCUUGCUCCUUUCUUUAUGGAACUUUCUUAAUGCACUUUUCGGUUAACAAGUCAACAUCAAUUUCUUUUGUUGUAAAAGAGUAUGAGGAAGGUGGCUUUCUUUUCGGAGAAAGUGUUUAUAGCCUUGUACUUCUGCAAUCGGAGAGAUUGAGGUCUGCAGCGUAGAUCCUUCGGGUUAGAUACACUUGUGCUAAGUUAUAGCUUUUCAUAGACAACUUGUUGAUUAUGUUAAGUCUUGUAGCUUACUCGCUUGUGCUAUUUUACCUACGCUUAGGAUGUUGAUCUGAGUGCGUGCGC